AUGGGCGGAGGACCCCGCAGCUGGUGGAAGGCCAGCAGCAGUGUAAAGCUGGAACCACAAGGAGGGGCUUUUUCUAAUACUGAUAGUCUGGAAAUCAACUGGCAUCAUAAUUCUAACAAGGGUAAGUGGCUAAUAGCUAAUAUAACUGGCUGACUGGUCAGAGGCUGUGUAAUGCUCGAGGCAAAGCCUACUCUAGCCUUAAUGUCUCAUGAGGGUUGUAGAACUUCUGACUCUAGGAUUGGCUCAGGAUCAAUGUGCAACUCAGGCCUGAGAGAAGAUCAGGUUCACUGAAUUGUGGUUAAAGUUAGUAUAUCUCAUCACAGAAGCCAUUUGACCUAGAUGAUUGUAAUUCCUUAUUCUCCAGAUUUUAUCUUUAUGUUUAUAUUUUGGGAAUAACUUAACUAACUUGUUGCCUUAUGUUGUUAUAUAAACAGUUAUGUUUUUAGAAAAUAUUGAAAUUUAAAUUUAUUUCUUAAUUGACAAAUUAAAAUGGUAUCUGGGAUACAACAUGAUAUUUUGAUACAUAUACACAUUGUGAAAUGGUUAAAUCAAGCAAUUUAACAUAUCCAUCACCUCACAUACUUUUUGUGUGUCAGAAACAAUUAAAAUCUACUCUAUGGCAAUUUUUGCAUAUAUACUAUAUUAUUUUUAACUAUAGUCACCAUGGUGUACAGUAGAUCUCUUGAACUUACUUCUUCUCUCUAACUGAAAUUCUGUAUCCUUUGGCCAACAUCUCCCCAAUUCCACAGUCCCCCUGCCUCUGGUAACCAUCAUUUUACCUUCUACUUCUUUGAGUUCAAUGUUUUAGGUUCCAUAUAUAGGUGAGAUCAUGUAGCAUUUGUCUUUCUAUACCUGGCUUAUUUCAUUUAACAUAAAUAAUACUGAAACUUUUAUUAAAAAUGUUAAAACCAGUAUUAAUCACCAGACUUAAGAACAAGUGUAAUAAUUAAGAGUGGAUGACUUGCUUCAAGAAAUUACACUUAGUUGUAAUUAAGUACUUGCCCUACAAAUCCUUAAUCUAAUGAUUCUAAAUUGUUUCUCUUUUUUCUUUAAUGUAAGCCAUUGAUUUUAGAAACUUUUGGGGACAUUCUGGUGAUAAAUCCAUCAUGGCUCAAAUUCCACUACAAACCAAGAAUUAUAGU
rnacentral:lncRNA from 1 species